AAGAGACAGGUCAUACGCUCGUCUCAAAGAUUAAGCCAUGCAUGUGUAAGUAUAAAUAAUUCUACUUUGAAACUGCGAAUGGCUCAUUAUAUCAGUUAUAGUUUAUUUGAUGAAAUGUACUACUUGGAUAACCGUAGUAAUUCUAGAGCUAAUACAUGAUCAAUUCCUCGACUUUGAAGAGGUGUAUUUAUUAGAAUGAAAACCAAUAGACUCUGUCUGUUUGUGAGUAAUAAUAACUUGUCAUAUCGCAUGCUUAGGUAGCGAUGUGUCUUUUAAGUUUCUGCCCUAUCAGCUUUCGAUGGUAGUGUA
rnacentral:rRNA from 1 species